rnacentral:rRNA from 1 species
AGACCGAUAGCGAACAAGUACCGUGAGGGAAAGAUGAAAAGCACUUUGGAAAGAGAGUUAAACAGUACGUGAAAUUGUUAAAAGGGAAACGAUUGAAGUCAGUCAUGCUUUCCGAGACUCAGCCGAUUCUGUCGGUGUACUUCUCGGUUGGCAGGCCAGCAUCAGUUUCGAUCUGUGGAAAAGGUUGGAGGGAACGUGGCAUCCUCGGAUGUGUUAUAGCCCUUCUUCGAAUACAUAGAGCGGGACUGAGGAACGCAGCGCGCCUUUUAUUAGGUUGGCCCUCGGGUACAUACGCGCUUAGGAUGCUGGCAUAAUGGCUUUAAACGACCCGUCUUGAAACACGGACCAAG